UACGUAGGGGCCUAGCGUUGUCCGGAAUUAUUGGGCGUAAAGAGCUCGUAGGCGGUUCGGCAAGUCGGAUGUGAAAUCUCCACGCUUAACGUGGAGGGGCCAUUCGAAACUGCUGUGACUCGAGUCCGGUAGGGGAGUGUGGAAUUCCCGGUGUAGAGGUGAAAUUCGUAGAUAUCGGGAGGAACACCAGUGGCGAAGGCGGCGAUCUGGGAAGAUACUGACGCUGAGGUGCGAAAGCGUGGGGAGCAAACAGG
rnacentral:rRNA from 1 species